UCGAGCGAUGAGUUCCUUCGGGAACGGAUUAGCGGCGAACGGGUGAGGAACACGUGAGGAAUCUGCCUUCUACUCUGGGAUAACUCCGGGAAACCGGGGCUAAUACCGGAUAUGAAACCUGAUGGCAUCAUCGGGUUUGGAAAGUUUUUCGGUAGAAGAUGACCUCGCGGCCUAUCAGCUUGUUGGUGAGGUAAUGGCUCACCAAGGCGACGACGGGUAGCCGGCCUGAGAGGGCGACCGGCCACACUGGGACUGAGACACGGCCCAGACUCCUACGGGAGGCAGCAGUGGGGAAUAUUGGGCAAUGGAGGAAACUCUGACCCAGCGACGCCGCGUGCGGGAUGAAGGCCUUCGGGUUGUAAACCGCUUUCAGCAGGGAAGAAGCGAAAGUGACGGUACCUGCAGAAGAAGCACCGGCUAACUAUGUGCCAGCAGCCGCGGUAAUACAUAGGGUGCAAGCGUUGUCCGGAAUUAUUGGGCGUAAAGAGCUCGUAGGUGGUUCGUUACGUCGGAUGUGAAAAUCUGGGGCUCAACCCCAGACCUGCAUUCGAUACGGGCGAACUAGAGUGUGGUAGGGGAGACUGGAAUUCCUGGUGUAGCGGUGGAAUGCGCAGAUAUCAGGAGGAACACCAAUGGCGAAGGCAGGUCUCUGGGCCAUUACUGACACUGAGGAGCGAAAGCGUGGGGAGCGAACAGGAUUAGAUACCCUGGUAGUC
rnacentral:rRNA from 1 species